rnacentral:snoRNA from 1 species
AUCCUCUCAGGGUUGCAACUGGAGAGUUUCCAGUACUCUACCAGUCUCGGCUAUGGGAGGGAGAAUCAAGCAGAGGCCUACUCAUUCCAUUCCUAGCUUGGCCAGUGGCUACCGAGCGGAAGGCAAUCUGCUACAAGU